rnacentral:miRNA from 1 species
ACUGCAGCGUGAGCACUUCAAG